rnacentral:tRNA from 1 species
CGACUUCGUGGACGAGGACGUGAUCGUGGUCGCCAACCGCGGCGGCGGGGUCGCCGUCGUCCGGCUCGUCCCCGGCGGGGCCGACC